rnacentral:rRNA from 1 species
UGUUUAUCAAAAACAUCGCCUUUUGAUUGAAAUAGAAGGUCUAACCUGCCCACUGAAAAGUUAAAGGGCCGCGGUAUUUUGACCGUGCAAAGGUAGCAUAAUCAUUAGUCUUCUAAUUAAAGGCUGGAAUGAAUGGUUGGACGAGGUGUUAGCUGUCUCACCAAAAUUUUGCUGGAAUUUAACCUUUUAGUCAAAAGGCUAAAAUAAUAUUGGAGGACGAGAAGACCCUAUAGAGCUUUAUAGUUUAAAAAUUAAACUUAUUUAGAGGGAUUAAGGUUUAAUUUGAAAAGUAUUUUGUUGGGGUGACAGGGAGAUACAAGUAACUCUCUUUAAAAAUUGUCAUAGAUGUAUGUUUAAUUGAUCCAUUAAUAAUGAUUAUAAAACUAAGUUACCUUAGGGAUAACAGCGUAAUCUUUUUCGAGAGUUCUUAUCGACAAAAAGGGUUGCGACCUCGAUGUUGGAUUAAGGGUUAUUUUUGGGUGUAGAAGUUCAAAGUUUAGGUC